UACGUAGGGGGCAAGCGUUGUCCGGAUUCAUUGGGCGUAAAGAGCGUGUAGGCGGCCAGGUAGGUCGGUUGUGAAAACUGGAGGCUCAACCUUCAGACGUCGAUCGAAACCAUCUGGCUAGAGUCCGGGAGAGGAGAGUGGAAUUCCUGGUGUAGCGGUGAAAUGCGCAGAUAUCAGGAAGAACACCCGUGGCGAAAGCGGCUCUCUGGAACGGCACUGACGCUGAGACGCGAAAGCGUGGGGAGCGAACAGG
rnacentral:rRNA from 1 species